rnacentral:lncRNA from 10 species
CCACUAGGAAAACAGUGACUCCAGACAGCUGUGCCUGCUCAGCCCAGGCAAGGCCGUGAGACUCAGCCGAGGAGCAGCUUCACUCAGGGCGAGCCUGCUCUUCCAAAGGCGAAGGGCCUCAGCUGCUGCAGAACGGGCCUGGGGAAAACACCUCCUCCCGCAUCUUCCGCUUGGCCGGGCUGGCGCCUAAGGCUCGCUUCUGUCCCACCGAGAGGAGACACUGGUGGGAAGGCAGUCUGACCUUGCUGACGUCAGCCCAAUCUUGACUUCUAGGAUUCCUGCCUUGACACUCACUUAAGAGAAGAGUGAAGUUUCGGGGACUCCGCACCUCAAGGUAGUUCCACCGCACGAGGUGCUGCGUUCGCAGUAUUACUCAUGCACCUUUCUGAUAAGAAAAGUGAAAACGCGAAGUUGAAAACUGAAGACGCCCAGCAACUUCCUGAAUCCAGCUCUCCACGUCCUGCCCUAUGGGACAGACAACUCCCAAAGAGGAAUCGUUGGUGGAAGUCCCAUGUUUCGUUGGCCUUGGAAGGGGGAACUGGUCAAGGGCUCAUCUCUGGACCCACACCCCAUAACCAACAUGGAAGCCUGGAUUUGGCCCUGGGUCAGGCUAGCUCCACAGGGAAGGGUCCAGUCUCUCCGGGGAGAUAUCCCGACUUCGGGUCCUGCUUUCUCUACUAUAAAUGGAGGCCAGCCAUGCCCCUCGGUGGGCCUCAGUUUCCUCACCUGUACAGUGGGGAAAUCCAUAGGACCUACGUCCCAGGAGGGCACUGGACCGAGGCACUGAAUGCCUGUCCAGUGCUCACGAUCGUGACAAGCACGGUGUGGAAUAAAUCCGGAAUAAAUGCUUACUGGGUGAGGGAGGACAGGGAAGAUUUCUAAAAUCCCCCUGACUUAAGAUCUGAUUCACCCAUUUAAAAAACCGUACUGGUAAAUAAUUUGAAAUGUAGAGGAAAGUUAUAAGGAAUCGCACAAAGAAUACUCCCAAACGUUUUGCCCAGAUUCACCUGUUUUCUGUGACAACUUUGAGAUAGAAUUCACACACCAUACAACUGACCCAUCACAAGUAUACAAUUCAAUGGCCUUUCAUAGUCAGAGUUGUGCAACUGUCACCAGAGUCAAUUUUAGAACGUUUUCAUCACUCUCCUCCCACAAAAAAACCCUCACAUCCCUUGGCUGUCACUCUGCACCUAUUAAUAUUUUUUAAGUGUUGAGACUUUUUUUUUUUUUUUUUUUGAUGGAGUCUCACCCUGUUGCCCAGGCUGGAGUGCAGUGGCAUAAUCUCGGCUCACAGCAACCUCCACCUCCUGGGUUCAAGCGAUUCUCCUGACUCAGCCUCCCGAGUAGCUGGGAUUAUAGGUGCCUGCCAUCAUGCCCAGCUUAUUUUUGUAUUUUUAGUAGAGACAGGGUGUCACCA